GGAACACAAUUGGAGCGAACGACGAAUUUUUUCGCGGCGUAUGUUCGUCGUCAAAAAUAAAACACAUAUGUGUAUAUGGAAGUGCACACAAUCACGGCACCGGCGAAAAUUUCGUCGGUCGCCGCGAACUCAAUUAGCUUUAUUUCUAUUUCAUACGCCGGCGACCGGCGAACAAAACAGUACAAGGUGGCCAUACUUGUACGAAUUUUAUGUGUAUUAGUAAAUAAAGUUACUUUUUACUUUAAAAUUUGUUAUGGUCACUCUACUAUCUGUUACUCGUAUAAAAAAACAUAAUUAAUUUGUUUAUUUAUUUGUGUACUUGCGCCUGAGUGAAGAUGGAUAUCAGUGAAUUUAUAAUAGAGAAGAUGGACAUAAGUGAAAUUAUAAUAGAGAACGUAAAGAAUUAUGUGUUCUUGUAUAAUUCAUUGUAGUCAACAAAUGAGCAAAAAGUAAACAACUUCAUCAGCUGUUUUUUAAUUUCGUCGGUAUUGUGUUCCAUACGACGAAUUUUCGCGGCUCAUUUUGUCGCCGCGUAGGGCGAAAUUCGUCGUUCGCUCCAAUUGUGUUCCUAGCAUUAAGCUGCAUUUUUACGGUUGGGUUUGAAAUAAACUCCUUAUUCUUCCACUGUAAUACUCGUAUUACGUCAAAGUUUGGUAUGUGAUUGUUACGCUUACAUUGUUCUUCAAGUGUAUUUUUUGUAUAUUGUAUUGGUUGCGCAUUUUAAUGUCUGAAUUAUGUCCCGAAAUUGAAGGGGUUCUAAAAUUACAGAGAAGCAUUAGAGCCCAAAGAUUAACAACAGUAAAUAUGAGUAUUAGAAAACACAACAAGUAUACAGGCGAUCAUGGUUCAAUGAAUUAAAGGCGAUACUUAUGUAUUACGAGUAAGGCACUGGCGGCUUAUAUUUCAAUAAAACAUUUGUUUUAAAUAAAAGACUCUGCCGGAACCUCAACAUGCCAGCCCUCUUUGAGUGGUGCCCCUUAAUGUGUGUAAUCAGUAGAAAAUAGGUAAAACCGCAAAUUCUCUCUUUGAAUCUGUUCAACUUAUUUUUUUGGAAAGAAAUACACAAAAGCAACAAAUGUGUAACCAUACUAAAUUUUUUGCCGAUUCAUCAUAUAUUGAGUCACCUCUAGUGGCAAAUGACCACCACUAGUUGAACAUUUUUUAAAAAUUCCCAAAUUCGUUGUAAAUGGUGGAGGAUAUUCAAGGUUUGGCCCGGCCGAACUUACUGCUUUUUACUCUUUUGUUGUUCCUAUUAUUUUCAUUGUUUGUUAUUAAUCCAUUUUUUAUUUAUUAUUGUUGUUGUAUUCAAUGUAUGUAUUAUGCCUUAAACGCUAUAUUAUUCAUCGCACUAACUGCAAGCUCUUUUUCACCACACCAGCUGAUCAAUAGCCGAAUAAUGGCAAUUAACAGAUCGAUCAUACAUAACAAUAGUACAGAAAAGAAAUGCAUAUCUUAAUUGCUAGUGUACGUGUUUAGCUCAGAGGGGCUACGCCGAUGGGAGUAAAACGCCGAAUGCGUCGAGCAGUGGACCGUAGGGGGGAAAUAUAAAAAGAAAUAAAACAAGAGUUUUUUUUAAUAUAUACAACUAUUUAUUCUUAGUUUGGUAAGAGGUAACGUUAUUACAUGUGGCAACAAUAUGCCUUUCUACGCACAACGAUGUCCGAAUGACAGCGAAAAACUACUUGAUGUCUAAAGGAGGCGGCAAAACAAGGGACAACUAAUUACUCGUUAAAAUGUCAAAGGCGCUACCACAAGGUUGCAAUAAACCGUAGCGCGUACAUUUUAACGAAUAAUUAAGGACCAAACCAGGGGUCAAUACAAAGCAAUAUUUAAUGCAAUUCUAAAUUAAACAUGCCGACGCCCCUGAAACAUCAAAGCAUGUUUCAACAUAAUUAAACAAAAUCGAAAUAAGUUCCGAUGGUAGGUACUGGACGCAUAGUUCAGUGUGAGCUUUUUAU